CACCCUUGUAUAGUCCCUCUCCAUUUUCUUGUAGCUCCCUUCAGCUACUGGAAGGCUGCAAUUAGGUCACCCUGAAGCCUUCUCUUCUCCUGGCUGAACAAACCCAAUUGUCUCAGCCCUUUUUCACAGGAGAGAAUCCCCUCCCUUGACCUGCUGGCUAUGCUGCUUUUGAUACAGCCCAAGACACAAUUAAUUGGCUUUCUGGGCUGCAAGUGCACAUUGCUGGGUCAUGUCCAGCUUCUCAUCCACCAGCACCCCCAAGUCCUUCUCAGCAGGGCUGCUCUCAUUCUGUUCAUCCCCCGACCUGUAUUGAUAUCAGGGGUUGCCCCCAACCCUGGUGAAGCACAUUGCAGUUGGUCUUGUUGAACCUCAUGAGAGUCCCAUGGACCCACUUCUUCAGCUUGUCCAGAUCCCUCUGGAUGACAUCCUGUCCCCCAGGUGUGGAUUUAAGGCAUUUUUCAGCUUAGGUUCCUCAACAUGCUUCCAGGAUUGUUUGCGUUUGGCAGGACGGAUGGAAAAACAUGUCCUUUUGAAGUCUUGUGUCAGGACCUGCUGCCAGUCUGGAUUUCAGUUCAUGCCGUGUGAUGCCAGGGCACGUGCAGCCAGGUCCGCACAGGCAAAAGGCCCUGAGGUUACCUGGCAUUGCACAGAGAACCUUGCCAGGGCUGAAAUGGUGGCCUUAAAUAUUGAAGUGGCAGAGAGGUACUGAAACUACCUUUACACAUGUGCCCUUCAAAUACUAGCCACCUGUGAAAUAAAGUGUUUCAAGGCCUGGCAGAUAUGAAUAAGUAUUAUACCAGGGAGCCAGGUGCGGCAGCUAUUAAAAACAUUCUGCAGUGAUUGUACUGGCUAACAGCAAAACAACCAAAAAAGCCACUUCCUCAUCCCUCAUGCCAGCCCUGUAGUGCUGGGCUCCCAGACAGCUCCUUUACCGUUGAUGUUAUUUGCCUUUUAAAUUUCAGCAACCCAAACUGCCGAGCGAGGAUCGCGGCUGUGCUGUACGAGGUUGUGUGCCACUGUCAGCAUGACUUAUUUCCAGGCUGCAUGGAGGCAGGGCUCACUGUGUUGUCUGACAAACUGGCUUCAUCCUGAAAGCUGGAGGUGAUCCAGAGCUCUGGUCGUCAAGCUCCUAAGGAGGAAAACCAGGAACAGGGAUGCUGCUGAUACAGGAACCGAAGGAAGCUCAUUCUCCUGGCCACCAGGGGGAGAAAACUGCCACUGCCAUUUGUAAAGCACUCAAAAUCAACUUAAAGACGCACCUAUUUUCUUGCUAAGGCGUUUUGAGACUUAGGUCCAUCAACUGUCUUCCUGAAUUAGUUAUGAGAAAACUAUUCAUUUUAGUUUUUUUCUAAAGUACUGUAAACCCCCCAAUGUAAUACAAUUUUACUUAAUUAACAAAUAUAAUUUAAUUAUUACAUGGAUCAUAUUCUCUCCUUCUCUAAAUGUUGCAUAUUAUCUUAUUUUAAAAUUAAUCCUAUUAUUUUUAAUAGGACUGAGUGCAAAGUAAGAUACAUCUUAACAUGAGUAAGUACAGAAAAAUACUGCUCUAAGUGAAAGGAACAAAUCUAUUCAAAGUAGCUAUGCAGCAUGACACAUACUUGCUUCUUGGCCUCAAAUAAACUCUGAAUAAGAAUAGGAAAGGAACAUAAUGCAUAUAAACGUUGACUUGAUACACAAAGAGAGUGAUGUGAGUUCAAAUUACUUUCAGAAUAAAAGGAAAGAAGAAAUGUGGGGGGGUCACAUUU